CACGUAGGGGGCAAGCGUUGUCCGGAUUUAUUGGGCGUAAAGAGCUCGUAGGCGGCUUAGUAAGUCGGGUGUGAAACCUCCAGGCUCAACCUGGAGACGCCACCCGAUACUGCUGUGGCUAGAGUCCGGUAGGGGAGCGUGGAAUUCCUGGUGUAGCGGUGAAAUGCGCAGAUAUCAGGAGGAACACCAAUUGCGAAGGCAGCUCGCUGGGACGUUACUGACGCUGAGACGCGAAAGCGUGGGGAGCAAACAGG
rnacentral:rRNA from 1 species